rnacentral:lncRNA from 1 species
GUUAUAUCAAUAAUAAUGAAAAAAAUGUAAUAACUAGUAUCUUCAAUGUUUAGGCUUUAAUUGCCAAACUACCAUGGAGACAAAUUUACAGCUCUCUGACUGUAACAUAGCUGGUGAGGGUAAUCAUUUCUGAAUCAAAUAUACAAGCAUUCCAGUGAACGCUCAACUUGAGGGAGGAGCUUAUUAUCAGCUAUGUCAAGAUCAGUGAGCUGUAAGUCAAAACUUAAAUCUGAAGUGUGGAAAGAAUAAACUAAAGGGGCGUUUAAACACAGCGAUAAGUCCAGCAACUAGUUGUGAUGACAAGUUGCUGUGAUUUGUUGAGGUUGAAACGCUGUUUAGACGCUGCGAUAAGUUGACCACAACAAGUUGAAGAGGGGACCAUUGUAUCCUGUUACUUUCAAAAUAUAAAGGUUGGGUAUGUUAUACAGGGUAUUUACAAAGUUAUAACCAAUUUUAUAUGAAAAUCGUAACAAGUUCAACUCACUGUAUAAAUAAAAAUAAGCACAACGGCAAUGGUUUAUUGAUGCCAUAUUUUAUUUAUUGUCAAAAUUUUUAAAAAUGAUUGAUAUUGCUAAUUUACUUUAUAUCUAAUAAAGGGUGAGUUAAAACUCAAGUAGGUAGGUACAUUAUUUUUUCAGUAAAAUUUAAAUGGGAUACCCUGUAUUUUAUAUCACUAUUAAAAAGUACCAUUACCGUACUUUAAUUUGUAUACAACAUUCCCUAUUCGUCUGUCUACGCAAAAGAAAAA